rnacentral:lncRNA from 1 species
CAACAUCUCCAUGUCCAUGACUUGUGAAACAUAGUCAUCAACUAAUACAUGUGCUAGUCUAAUAUUCAUGUGUGUCCUCACAUGAACUCCGACUAGGGACAACUUUAGAAUAACCAUACAAGUAAAGAGCUUCACACACAAUUCACAUAAUUGCAAAUCAAUUCAAUUAGCCUUUAAUGGAUAUUCAAGGAACACAAUAUAAAUCAUGGAUAAAAUGGAAUAUCAUCAUCUCUAUGAUUGCCUCUAGGGCAUACCUCCAACAGUACCCCGGCC